GGCGAACGGGUGCGUAACACGUGGGCAACCUGCCCCAGACUCUGGGAUAACUCCGGGAAACCGGGGCUAAUACCGGAUACUCCGAUCGGACGACAUCGUCUGACCGGGAAAGCUCCGACGGUCUGGGAUGGGCCCGCGGCCUAUCAGCUUGUUGGCGAGGUAACGGCUCACCAAGGCGACGACGGGUAGCUGGUCUGAGAGGACGACCAGCCACACUGGAACUGAGAUACGGUCCAGACUCCUACGGGAGGCAGCAGUGGGGAAUCUUGCACAAUGGGCGCAAGCCUGAUGCAGCGACGCCGCGUGGGGGAUGAAUGCCUUCGGGUUGUAAACCCCUUUCGGCAGGGAAGAAGCGCAAGUGACGGUACCUGCAGAAGAAGUCCCGGCUAACUACGUGCCAGCAGCCGCGGUAAGACGUAGGGGACGAGCGUUGUCCGGAUUCAUUGGGCGUAAAGCGCGCGUAGGCGGUUCGGUAAGUCGGAUGUGAAAACACGAGGCUCAACCUCGUGCGUGCAUCCGAUACUGUCGGACUAGAGGUAGGUAGGGGAGAUCGGAAUUCCUGGUGUAGCGGUGAA
rnacentral:rRNA from 1 species